rnacentral:snRNA from 1 species
GGAUGUGAGGGUGACCUGGUUGUGACAUCUGUCAUCUCAUUGAUCACCAGGGUUGAUUUGGCUGGCUAGAUAGGUAUCCCUUUCUCCCUCUCCACUUGAUGUGUGUCCCUCCCAAAUCUGCAUGCUUGGUGGAAGAGAAUGACACCCCAGGUAGGGGUUUACCAAGGUUUCUAGUCUUUGGACCCGGGUAUACGAUAGCUACACUCCCCUUCCAGAAUCUCCAAACAAGCUGAAGGUGUGCUGUCAAAUCAUGACAUAUGGAGACUCUAGGAAAUUGAGUGUGUGAUUCACUAAGGUCGCCCU